UGGGGAAUAUUGCACAAUGGGCGCAAGCCUGAUGCAGCCAUGCCGCGUGUAUGAAGAAGGCCUUCGGGUUGUAAAGUACUUUCAGCGGGGAGGAAGGCGAUAAGGUUAAUAACCUUGUCGAUUGACGUUACCCGCAGAAGAAGCACCGGCUAACUCCGUGCCAGCAGCCGCGGUAAUACGGAGGGUGACAGCGUGAAUCGGAAUUACUGGGCGUAAAGCGCACGCAGGCGGUCUGUCAAGUCGGAUGUGAAAUCCCCGGGCUCAACCUGGGAACUGCAUUCGAAACUGGCAGGCUAGAGUCUUGUAGAGGGGGGUAGAAUUCCAGGUGUAGCGGUGAAAUGCGUAGAGAUCUGGAGGAAUACCGGUGGCGAAGGCGGCCCCCUGGACAAAGACUGACGCUCAGGUGCGAAAGCGUGGGGAGCAAACA
rnacentral:rRNA from 1 species